rfam:Cronobacter sakazakii ATCC BAA-894, complete genome.
AUUCCCUUUGUGAAGUGGAUCGCAGAUAAUAGCGCCCCGGUUUGCACACCGGGAAUCCAGGAGAGUUCAUGUAC